rnacentral:lncRNA from 1 species
GGGAAAAUGUGGAGUAUCAGUCAGGAGGCAACACUAGGAGCCGAGGAAUCUGCAUUUCUAUCAGACCUUGGCAGAGAGCGCCCUGGGAAAUGCGGAUGUAGAAGGUCACAAGAACAUCUCUCCUGGUUAUACAGCGUUCCAGCGCCUCUUCAAGUGAGAUGGCAGACCACCUCAGGAUGGAAAUGUAUUUCUUCACCCCUCUGUCUACUUCCCUGUGACCUCCUGCAAAUAAGGGAGAGAUGAAGAGAAGAGCAGAAGAACAGCAGAAUGGAGUGGCAAAUAGACGAGGAGUGUCUGAACAUUGACAAGACUUUGGCUGGGGAUGGUCAGAGAGGAGAUUAGCUGCUAGACACCCACACUGCAGGGAAAGAUCAUUUUCCCACUCCAUCUCCCUUCCAGCUCCCCAUCCAUCUCACCAAGAGCCAGCUCCUCCGCUCAAUAAAACCUUACAUUCAUCUUUCA